rnacentral:lncRNA from 1 species
GAUUUUUUAGGAUUACUUUUAUAUAAGGGCAAACUUUAGGUGCUCACAGCUGCCCCUCUUUACUUGGAAACAUGAAGAGUUUUCGGGCAAAGAUAAAGUGAGCAAUUACGAGCAAUUUUUGCACAUUUGGAUACUCCAUGGGAAGCGUUUUUUGAAACGUUUGAUCGAACCUUACUUCAGAGGUUGCCUACAUAUCCUUGGCUAUAAAAGAAUCAGGUUAGUGUAGUUCUGGAAGUUUAGAUAGCUGGAACUACCGAGAAGCUGUGAUUUCACUGUUAUUGUUGUUGUUUACUGCUUGCUGAGCUCCUUAUUACACCAAAGUCAAAAUGAAAAAGACUAACUAAGCCUAUUAGCUACGAGUUACAAGAUUCCUAUCUAUGAGUCUUUUGAAGCUUGAUCUUGAGUUUUGGCUGGUUCUUCCUGCAGACUCUGAUCUGAACCUUGAUGCUUGCUAGCUGCAGGUGCUAGUUCAUUCUUCUUCGGCUUUUCAGAUCAAGAUGCGACAUGCAAAGCUUGCGACUUCAAUCAUGUCUUGGUCAUCCUGGACUGUCGACUUGCAUUCUUGAGGUGAGCUUCUGUACUUCUAACUUGAAUUGAAUUCUGAAAUAACUUCCCUCAUUCUUCAGGUGGGCACCUGCAACUGACUUGAAAUUUGAACUGAAUUCCCUCGUUCUCCAGGUGCCUGCUAAUGACUUGAAAAUUGAAACAAAUUCCCACAUUCUCCAAGUGGGUGCCUGCCGCUAACUUAAAACUUGAAAUAAAUUUCCUCAUUCUCCAGGUGGGCGCCUGAUGACUUAAAACUUGAAAUAAAUUCCCUCAUUCUCCAGGUGGGCGCCUGCUGACUUUAAAAUCUUGAAAUGAAUUCCCUCGUUUUCCAGAUGGGUGCCUGAUGUUGACUUAACACUUGAAAUGAAUUCCCUCAUUCUCCAGGUGGGCGCCUGAUGUUGACUUAAAACUUGAAAUAAAUUCCCUCGUUCUCUAGGUGGGCGCCUGAUGACUUAAAACUUGAAAUAAAUUCCCUCAUUCUCUAGGUGGGCACAUGCUGACUUAAAAACUUGAAAUAAAUUCCCUCGUUUUUCAGGUGGGUGCCUGAUGUUGACUUACACUUGAAAUGAAUUCCCACAUUCUCCAGGUGGGUGCCUGAUGCUACAACAAAAUAGACAAAACAAAAGAAACUUUUCUGCCCCAGUUUGUACUAGGAAGAUUUGUGAGUUGUUAGCAGAACUAUAAAUCACCUAUGUUAUUGAUGAAUGAUGCAAUGAUGAGAGUAAAAUUAAAGACUCGACUAGGAUGUGCGUCUCCUAAAGAAAUAAAAAUCUGAAAAACCUAAACUAGAAAGUGCGUCUCCUAAAUUUUAGAUUGAGCUUGCGGAAAACUAUAAACUAAGCUUGACUAAACUAAAAACUGACCCUAUUCUCCAGGCGGGACCCCUGAUUUCAAGAAAACUAAAGAUUGAUAAUUUAAGAAAACUGAAAAUUGACCCUUUCUUUUUAAAAAAAGAAAAAGAAAAAAAAAUCCAGACUUCCCUUUUUUUAAACUUAUUAUCGUAGCAGAAAAUUCAUUAGAUUAGGUUUUAAUCUUAGGAGAAAGAUUCAUCAGACUAAGAUUUUGAUCCUAGGAAAAAAAUUCAUCAGACUAGGUCUCUUUUUUUUUUUUUUGGUAUCUUUGGAGAA